GGAUGAACGCUGGCGGCGUGCCUAAUACAUGCAAGUCGAGCGAACAGCUAAGGAGCUUGCUCCUUUGACGUUAGCGGCGGACGGGUGAGUAACACGUGGGUAACCUACCUAUAAGACUGGGAUAACUUCGGGAAACCGGAGCCAAUACCGGAUAAUAUUUCGAACCGCAUGGUUCGAUAGUGGAAGAUGGUUUUGCUAUCACUUAUAGAUGGACCCGCGCCGUAUUAGCUAGUUGGUAAGGUAACGGCUUACCAAGGCGACGAUACGUAGCCGACCUGAGAGGGUGAUCGGCCACACUGGAACUGAGACACGGUCCAGACUCCUACGGGAGGCAGCAGUAGGGAAUCUUCCGCAAUGGGCGAAAGCCUGACGGAGCAACGCCGCGUGAGUGAUGAAGGUCUUCGGAUCGUAAAACUCUGUUAUUAGGGAAGAACAUACGUGUAAGUAACUGUGCACGUCUUGACGGUACCUAAUCAGAAAGCCACGGCUAACUACGUG
rnacentral:rRNA from 1 species